GGGUUUUAUGAUGGGGUCGCUCCUAUAAAGCUGCCUGGAACUAACAAAGGGGUGAAGAUUGUUUCAGAGGAACACCGGCCUCGUCUUCCCUUCUAGAAGUGCAUGCUUAAAUGAAGAUGAAUAAAGAUGAAUAAAGAUUUUGUAAAAAUUACUACUGAGUUCCGGUACCAUCUCUGGAUCCCUCGACGAAUAAAAGAACCGGGGCAAAACUGAUUUUGCAACAAGAGUUAGAGUAGCUUGAGCCAAACGGUGAAAUACCUGGCAUAAAGUUUCCAAAUGAUCUUGCCAUGUUUCAGUGUAAACUACUAGAUCAUCUAGGUAGGCACUGCAGUUGGACAGGCCACGGAGGACUUUAUUUACCAGCCUCUGGAAGGUGGGGUUAGCAUUACACAUGCCGAAAGCCAUGACUGUGUACUGUAGAAAAUCAUCAGGUGUAACAAAGGCAGAGAUAUAUGCUUUUUAUUUGUAAUAACUGCAAUCUCUCAGCUCAUUUGCUUCAGCAAGAGGCUGCACUGGAGAGUGGACUUUGUCACAUGUGAGCCACCCACAUCAACAGGAUGGGAACUCAUGUGGAGUGCAUGUCAUAAUGUUUGCCCAAUCUCUCAUUGAGGGUAAAACACAUGUGGAGGAGUACAACACUGAAAUCCCAAAGCUCAGGUCCCAACUUUGCCACUACUUAUUUUCCUCAAUAGAUCGAACUAGGAAGUGCAGUCAGUGCUGGUGUCUAAUUGCAGCCAAAGACCGGGUGCAGUGCCAGAAAUGUGGUGCAUACAAGCACAUGCGUUGUUCAAAGUCUGUUUGUGGCAUCUGUAUCUUCUGUGAGAGGCCGUAAAGCCAAACUGCCCGCAAUGAUUCUUGACAGGCCUAAGAAGGCCAAAACUAAAGUAACGGUGUUUAGUGUUCUGAGUGAAGAGGAGGCUGGGGAGCUAGCCCUCUGGUUUGCUGGAAGAUUGGCCUGCGAUGUCACAAGAGACAUGGUCUGUAAAGGCAUCGACCAUUCAAGUGCUGAUGUGACAAAACAGACUCUUCACAAAAUCCAACACAACCUUAAACAGGAACUGACUGAUUCCUCAACUUUCAGUUUGCUGACACACACCUUUGGCCCUGCUGCACUGGAUUCUGUCAUUUCUUUCCUGUGUGAAAAACUGGAUCUUGUCUCUUAAAUAAUAAAACCUUUUGUGACUUUUGUUUGUUCUGUAAAUCAGAAUCUUGAAAAUUGUUCACUGUUGUUUUAAGUUUGUAUUAAGUUAACUAUUUGGUAAAAAUGUUUUGUUCCUAAUCCAAACAGCAUAAUGACUGUUCUAACACAUAUCUUAAAAAUGCUACAAAGAAAGAAAAUUAUCACAUAUGUUUCAAUAUGAAUGUAAUUGUGUCACACUCGGUUUGUAGUAGCUUUCCUGUUUUAUUUUGUGAGUUUUGGUAUGUUUACACUGUUGUCAUUUUUAUUUCCCUUGUGUUCGUCUUCCCUUCAGUCAGUCUUUAUUUCAAAAUCCCGCUUUUCCCAAUGGCCUAUUUAUUUCAUAAUGCGACUUUUCAGCAGAAUGACUUUGCCUGUCAAUCAAGAAAGACAGGGCGGAGCCAGUUGUGUGAUUGGUUGCUCCUUUGCUCAGACAUAAGAAAUAGCACAUGAAGUGUCGAUUUAGGUCCAAUGGUGCAGUGCGUCUCCUACCUAUGUUUAUACCUAUGUAAACUUUUAUACACUAGUUUUUACCUGUCUUGUUUCAGAAAGGUUUAAAAGGGUAAUGUCCACAUUUUAUAAUUUUUGAAUUCAACAUAUUUUAUUAAAGUAAUUGAGCUUGAACACAGAAAAAACUGAAUCAAAUAAUCAUAAAAUCAAAUCACUUGCACUAUACUGAAGUCUAAUCUACUCUGAGCUAAUGCUGGUUUCCAACACUAAUGAUCGGGUGAAGGAGAGAGAUGAGGGUGUGCAUGGCCACUGGUGCUCUUAUCCCUGUUCUGUGUGAUACAAUCCAACAGGAAAGCAGUCAAACCCUUGGACAUUAGCGAAGUUAACGUUCACAAAUAUAUACACACAGAGGAACUCUGAGCCCCAAUGUCAGCAUUAGCACAAACAUGCCACUUCAUACCAAAUCUCAGUGUGAGGUCAGGUAUUAGUCUCAUUCCAUUACUCUGGCUAUAUUUUCUUACUCAUCAUUACUAUUAAACUUAUACUUAGUCAUACUCUAAAUUACAAUUUAGGAUGAUUAACUAUUAACAAAAUCACACCCCGAUAACUCUGUUAUUACACUUUGUAUUUAAUCAUAAAAAGGCUGGAUGUUGAAACCUUUUACUUCUAUUUUGUAUGAGCCAGGGGUCCUCAACAGCUGAUACUCUAUGUCCAAAAAGUGACAGGUACCGUUUUAUGGAGCAAAAAACUUAAGAGCGCAUAUUUUAUAAAUAAUACCAACAAUUAUAAAUGCAGAUCUUUAAUAGUAAUAAGUAAUAGUAAUAAGUAAUCCUUUAUUUAUGAUACAUAGCAAUAUAAAAAUAGCAACAUAUGAAAAUAUUACAAUGGGCACAGAUGAAUUUGUAUCAAAAACAGCAACCAAGCCAAAGUAAUGAAUAACACACAUAAAUAACAACUGCUUGAGAGAGACCAAACAAUUUCUUUUCAUCUGUUCCUUGGCAUAAAGUUAAGACAGCUAUUCAGCUUUAGGUUUCAGUAAACAGAGGUAAUGGAUGCAGUCCCUUUGAAAUUUCUACACAAAAGUCUACUUGUGCAUAUACUUAGCUUUAACUCUUCUCUUUUUUGUUUUGUAUUCCAAAAGGUUUUCAUUUUCUCCAGAGGAUGUCUCCCUUUCAGUGGUUAUCGAUUGUUCACAUUCAUUUUCACAGACUGUUGGAAUGUCGAUGCUGGCCGAACGUUUCUUGCUAGAAUGCAAUGGCCUAAUUUUGCGUGCAUUAUCUGUCGUCUUUAUUUCGUACUGACAUAUACCUUUGCCUACUUCUUGUUUCGUUUUUAAGACAUUUGUAUGCAGUUCAUCUAUCAUUGCAGUAAUGCCCUCUGGAAUAAAUGCCCACUGUUUAACUGUGUCUAAAACAGCAUUUAGUUUUCCAACCGCGUCUUCUGUGCAUUUUUUGUCUGUGCUUUCAACUACAGGAGUGUCAUUCAAAGUUGAUAAAGGACUUUUCAGAGAGUUUUUCAUUUGUUUAAAAUGGCUACAAGCCACCUUCAGGCAAGCACAUGUGUUAUAGUGAGAGAACGUACAACAAGUGCACUGAAGUGUUUCAGCCGAUGCAAAAAAAAACACAGAUUUCCAAACAAACUUGGCAUUUUUAUCACUUUCAAGUCCUCACAGUGUACAAAGUAAUGCCUUUCUUUCACUGUCAAAGGAGUUUGCAAAGAAAAGCGUCUGGACUUCUUUAAGUUGCUUGAAGACGUUUCACCUCUCAUCCGAGAAGCUUCUUCAGUUCUAAGGUCAAAUGGCCGAGAGUCCCAGAUUUAAACCCAGUGGGAGUAUCCCCCCAAGGAGGGACAAAGGGCCCCCUGGUGAUCCUCUAAUCACAUGCGCCAAGGUGUGAAAGCGGGUGUGGGACCUAAUCAGCCAAGGUUUCGGGUGAGCUCAUCCUCGCUUUCUUUCACUGCAAUUCUUGCCAAGGUAGAAAUGUCUGUUUCCAUGUUUGGAUAGAUGUCAUUGUCAACCUCUGCUAAUUUUGCAAGUAACACUAGAUGCUUGCAAAGAAGUCCUCGUAAGCCAUAUGUACAGUUGCAGUAGGACUCAACAGGGCAGACAUCAUACACUAUGUCUUCUCUUGACUCAGAUGGGACUUGAUAUGCAUUAACUCCAUGGCUGUUCUUGACUGUAAUUUUAAGAGCCCAACCACUUUCCAUCAGUCUUGAAGCAGAGUCUGAAACUUGAGACAAGGUGUCAGCAAACCUGUUUUUCAUGCGGCCCACAUCUUGCAGGGUUUUUAUGACUGAGAAGUAGUUGUCGGCCUUCCCUAGGAGCACUUCAAUUAGAUCAUCCAGAUGCCUAUUCUUGUAGCCAGAUAAAAACUGGUAUUUCAGGCGGUGGAAAAAUCGGAAAAAAAGUUAUUUGAAAUGAUUAGUAACUGUAAUUGAAGGAAUUUAAAGUUUAAAUCAAGAGUGUAUUAUUAAAAAAAUUUUUGAAUACCUAUUGCACACAUGUCUUUUAUAAAGGAAUGCUCUGUGCCGGUUUAGCUGGUUUAGGCAAAUCCACCUACUCUGUUUUUUGUUGUGAGAACAUAAAAAACACUGCUAGAAUUUAAAGGAUUCGCCUAAAAGCUGUUCUGGCAAUGACACAAAGAACCUACUUAGUUUAGCCUCUUGGAUUAAUGCAUAAUAUCUUUUUUUUCAGCAAUAAAAUUGAAUAAGGUCAAAAUAAUAAAUCAUACCUUUCAGUCACAUUGUUUGUUUCAGAACGAGCGUGACUGAAGUGACGGCCGUAGUCACACCACAUGUGGCCAAUGCCUUCCCAGUGCUUCUGAAAAUACUGGCACACCAAAGGUUAUUGCUUAAAUGUCUGGCAAAACUCUGCUGAUGUGGCUUUAAAGUCUUCCUCCUAAGAGAAUUGGAUGCAACAGAAUAUAUUUCAAUCCAUUUAACAGACCUAUUGAAAUCUUUAAUAUUAUGUAUUGAAGCCCUUUUCCUUUUAUUGAAUAACGUUAAGAAUUUUAAGUUAUUAAUAAUAUGUCGUGUUUUUGUAUUAAGAAGCAAUUAUUUCUUCCCUUACAAUGGAUAAGAAGGAACACUAAACCUAUAAGCAUAUUUGGUUUCAGCAUCUGUCUGUGAAAGAAUCCCACUCACAAGUUCUACUGCACUGUGGGCGACACAAUGAUGGUCUGCACAGCUUAAGUACUUGUUUUGAUAAGCAAGAUAAGAAGCCAGUUUUCAAAAUCAUUUCAAAAAUCUAUUUUGUAUCUCUCUGUAACUUUUUUUAGCAACUGAAAGUUAUUAUGCUCUUGGUGCAAUCAAGAAAUCAAAAUGUGAAAUAGACAAAUUACACUUACAGAUGUGCAAGCUUUCAGCUUACAAAACAAAGAAAUGAUUUCAUUUCUCUUUUGGGUGUUAGAAAGCCCAUGGACCCCGGACUCUGAUUUUGAAAGCCAUCAAUUAACAGCCUGUUAAUGUAAGAGAAAAAAAGUUAAUCUGGAGAGACAGAGGAGCAGCUGUACAAAAAGCAUAAAAGAAAGCUGACGUCCAAAAAUAACUUUGUCACUCACUGGACAAGAGGAACUGUGCAUUACAGAAAUCAACCAGACAAACAUAUUUUUAAAUGUCAAAAAGAGCUUUGGGAAGCAGCCACCAGAAGAUGAGUGCACUGUGGUCUUAAAUGGAUGGACAUAGUCACUCAACAUUUUAUCCCUUUAUAUUCAUUAACCUGAGUAGGUGAAUAUCACAAUGAGGCAAAUCAUAACAACAGGACCCUGUUGUAAAAAUGUGUUUCAGGUGCAUCUUAGACAACGUGAAAAGAAAACAAUGUGGUUUACCUGCAAGACAUGGUACCAGCAUAGAAGGAUAGCUGACUCUGGAAAAACCUUCUGCAAAGCAUUUAUUUCCGCAAAGUCUUUGUCAACCAUAAAUGCUCUACAGAAAAAAAGAAAACACUAAAUGAGAUUAAACAGUAUGAAAAUGUUUUUGCUAUCUCAAAGCACCACUUCAAUGCCAAAUUAAACAUUUCAACUCUCAAGUAGAUAUAUAAAAUACUGCAUACAGCCUGAAGGAAUAACUUUAACAACUAGAAAGGAAGGUUUUUUGCAGCCCAUGCUGCAGCUAUAGCAUUAGAUUCUGGCAUAUUAUAACUUUUUUGAAAAGGAAUUAUUUCAAAAUUAAUAGCUGUCAAUGUGAUAUUUACCUCGGUGAAGUUGGGAAAUGCUCACAAACUAUUCCAAGAACAGUUUCCAGGGUUUUCUGACUUUCGUUGCUGACAAUAGCAUAGGCCACAGGGACUCCACGCCCAUGAUCAUCUCUUACAACAAGUGUGAAUAAGGGAAAUGAAUACUGGUUAACACAGUGUGUGGUGUCAACAAAUACUAACUGUUUUGCAGAGUUCUCCAUGUUUGAUUUCAUUACAGGUGUCUGCAAAACAAUCAUUAGUUCUUGGUCAGAUGUGUAUGGUUGAUAGAAGAGAACAUGUUCUUGAUGUUUUCCAUUAAGUAAGGUAUGUACACUUUGACUGUCUCCACAGUUAAAGUGCUUCUUCCUCAUCAUGCAGGUUCUAACACUGUCAAUGUCACGUGGUGUGACAAAAUGCUCUCUGUUGUGAAGAUCUCUGUGUCCAUGUUCUUUGGCCCAUUUAUGACAUUCGGUUAGUAUGAUGGCUGGCUUAGUUCCAAGGGAAAGCAGUUCCUCAAUCUUCCUCCUCAAAUCACUGGAAAUAUUGUUGAAAUGUGCGUCUUUUGGGUCCGAAGAAUCAUGCCCAUCAUGCUUAUCAUAUGUACGCUGCACGAUGACUGUGUGGUCUUUCCAACAUUUGAGUACUUUAAAUGAAACAUAGGCCUUACAGCCCACUGCUUUGUAGCUGUUCCGACUUUUUUUUCCAGCUCUGAUGCAGUUGAAUUUGUAAUAGUCUCUCUUCCUGUCUUUACCUGAGGCCACAUUUAAACAUUUAUAAUGUCCAUGAAGGGUUAAUGAGUUCAAUUUUUCUAACACAACACUAAAUGGGUCCUCCUGGCAUUGUGACACAUGCACACAAAGUUGUGUAUCUUUUCCAGUUCUUUUUUUUUUCGUCAUUCAGGACACUUCUUCUAAUUAUAUCGUCCAUUUCUGGUGGAAAAAUAACAAAGGUUUAAUUAGUCAAUAAUCAUUAAUUCAUUUUAACUUGUUUUGGGUUUUUUCGCAAUACAAUGUAAAUAUUAAAUAUAAUAUUAAAACAAUAUAUGUAUAAUAUAAAACAAACAGGGGCUAAAAGAAAUGCCUAAACUUUCAUAUGGUAUGUCUCUGGCAACUUUAACACAAUGUCCCAGGGACGACAUUUACACGGUGUCCCAGGGACAACAUUUACACGGUGUCCCAGGGACACGGUGUUCCAGGGACAACAUUUACACGGUGUUCCAGGGACGACAUUUACACGGUGUCCCAGGGACAACAUUUACACGGUCUCCCAGGGACACGGUGUUCCAGGGACAACAUUUACACGGUGUUCCAGGGACAACAUUUACACGGUGUUCCAGGGACAACAUUUACACGGUGUUCCAGGGACAACAUUUACACGAUGUCCCAGGGACAACAUUAACACGAUGGCCCAGGGACAACAUUAACACGAUGGCCCAGGGACAACAUUAACAUGAUGUUCCAGGGACGACAUUUACACGAUGUCCCAGGGACAACAUUAACACGAUGUCCCAGGGACAACAUUAACAUGAUGUCCCAGGGACAACAUUAACACGAUGGCCCAGGGACAACUUUGUAAAUUUCUGGAUUACUGUUAAUCUCCAUAGAAUCAAGAACUAUGGAGUUCACUUUUAAAAUCAAAUCACUUUUAUUGUCACAUCACAUGUGCAGGUACACUGGUACAGCACAUGUGAGUGAAAUUCAUGUGAGUGAACUCUGUGUCAAAUACUGAGCUUCAGUAAAGAUUCAAGUUGCAGUUAUUUAUAUUUCCUAUCACCUUAAAUCUUCACUCAAAGACAAGUAUCUCUGACAGUGUAUAUAUAGAUGUAUUAUAUAUAAGAGACAAAUGUUGUUCCUUCAGUAUGUUGGCAUUACUAAAUUUGGCUCAAUGCUUAUAUAUAUGUGUAAAAAGCAAAUGUACGAGCUGUGAUAACUGUUUCUGAUAGAAUGAAGAUCAGACUGAUAUAUGAAAUAUUCCUUUAUUGGGUGAUAAAAUCAGACCAUGUCAUAACUGCUUUAAGUCAUACAGAAUAGAUAUCAGAGCCUUAAACAGGCUGACUUCUGCUAAAUGGGUCAAACUGGGCAGAAAGUAUACAAACACAUAACAUCCUUAUAGAAUAUGAUGUAACACUAUAGAUCAACUUACCUCAGAAUAUAUAAAGCAUAUAAACAAUUACAGCAAUAUGAUGCAACAAACACAGCAGUGCUACUAAUCACAAAUACUCAAAGCUUCAUAGAACUGAAACAAAUGUUUAUUUUUAGCUCCAUUCUGCUGCUGAUACAUACUUUAGGUUUCUGAAUAUGAAACUUGUUGCUGCCUUUCAUAGUGUGUAACUUGAAGGCCCUGAGUACUUUCUCCCACACUGAAAACACUGGGAUGAUAACAUUAUUUGAACAUUACCUAAUAAGACUGAUUCAGGACAGACAAUUAGUUAUGUUAAACUUUCCUAGCAGUCCUUCACAAACAGGGAACAGUCUGUCUAUUCUCUCCAUCUGUCAGCUGCUGCUGGCUCUUCCUCCUCCUCUUCCUCACACACUGCUGAGUUUGUCCUGGUGGAUCAUCAGGGGUGCAAAGCCUCACAGAUGAUGUGCAGCAGUGGGUCCCUCAGUCUGUCCUCACUCUGGACACUUGCAGUUGUCACACAUUGAAAUCAAAUGUGUGAUAAGCUGCAGGAUUCAAACACAAGUGUAACUUAUAAAUACAUGUUCAUACUUUUAUUCCACAAUCAGAGAGAAAGAAACAGAGAGAGAGUGCAGGACAGACAGACAGGUGACAGUCUCAGGUGUAUACACUGCUACAAAACAGCACAAGAGAAGGAGGAUUUAGUGUUUGUGUUAUUACGAGUGCUAAACACCAAGAGUUCCCAGAUGGUACAGUGGACACAUGUGUGACUCCUGUGAUUAAAGCAUCUUUCUUUCAGCUUAACGAGUGAACCGUCAGCUCGUUCAAACACACGUUAAAGUCCGUUUGGCUCGACACCACCGAACAGAGGCAGCAAUAUAACAUAGCUAACAUUAACAGUGCAGUGAAUCCUGCUUGUGCCGUGAUAUUCAGGACUGCAAACCGAGCAGCAUCACUGACUUUCAGCUUGUUGUGUUUGUGGAUAUAUGACUGACUUUAAUUAUCCAUAAAAUCAUCACAUUCUCUGUAAGAUUAAGGUUGACUACUGAACGGCGUAUAUUUUAAAGUAAAGGCUUUAUAACCAAGUAACCGCUGAAAGUACAAACAUCACUAAUGUCACAUAACUUUGCCGACAUGUGGCCAAUAAUGUUUUAAUGUUCUUCAUUAUUAAACAUUUGCACAUAAAUAAGUGACAUAUUAUUCAAUACUUACUUUUAAAAGUUUACUCUUCGUCCACCCCGCUUCAGCCAUCCGCCGUUUUUUUUGUUCUGAGAAAAAUAUCCACACCCACUACAGCACUAUGUAUUGUGUGAUAGAUUGGGUCACGAACUCUACACCGGACCCAUCCUUCAAAUCUCGGGAAAUGAAGGGCGCAUUUGUUGACCGCAUUUGGAGGACUCCGAAGCAUGCAGUCCUGUGUUCAGCGUCGAGUUGUUAAUGUUGGUUUCCCACUUAUGCUGUCUUUCCCUGUGCGUUCUGAGUUUACUCCAGUUUAGUUUUGUUCUGUUUGUGUAUCACUUCUGAGCAUCAUAUUUGACAUCAAUAAAACAGUAUUUUUGAGCUCA
ensembl:lncRNA